AUUAUAUAUGAUUCUCUAAACAAAAACUCUGCACCGAUGUGACUAUUCUCCAGCGAAACAAACAGAACUCGCCGGCGAUUGAAGUAUCAGAUUUUCCGGUGAGUGUUACCGGAAAAGUGUAGAGAGAGAAAGAGAGAGAGAGACUGAGACACACGGCGGCUCCGCACUCGUUUGGAAAUUAGGAUGUGUUGUUGGAAGGAGGACCGGUUUGCCCCCUUCACACUUUUUAUAAGGCUGUGUGUAAUUACUGAUUUGCCCUCCU
rnacentral:lncRNA from 1 species